UUGUUUAUUUUUGACGGGCCCUAGAAAAAUUCUAGCAGUGUACUUUCCCAGCAGGCAACCAGAAGAGUUUCAGACUUCCCGAGAAUUUCUUAUUACCCAGACUCCGAAUUUGUCAACCUCACAGGAGUUUCCAAUAAGUGGGAGAGAUUGGUCAUGUGUGGACGAGACGUGGAAGAGGUAAAUGAAGAAACUGAGCCUUAAGGUGAUCAGCACACGAAACCUGGGCUUGAGGAUGACAGAGCAUGUGGAGCAGAGACAGACCAUCCCAGCAGAGUCCUCAACAAAGGAGCCUCUCGGUCUCCAGGUAUGUGAGUGAGGCCAGCCAACCCCAGAGGAUCCACCUACCAACCUCAGAGAUCUGUCACAUCACCUACAUCAGAACUGUCCAGGGCAGUGGAGUCCUUGGCAAGAUGGAUUCCUGCUCCCUUCACAAUUUAGACAGUUAAGGCCCGUAGGCUUCCCACGGUCAGCACAGGUGGGACAUCUUUGUUCUGGGAUUUAGUCCUGGAGAGGCCAUUCCACUGUUGCUGCCACGGAGACGUCGCUAGCCAUGGCCACCUGUCCUCCAAAGAGCCAUCAGCUUUCAAAGAAGAAAACAGGAUGAAGCCCAAGAUCUCCCCUGACUUCAAAUCUGGUUUCAGCUCAAAGUCACUUCAGAACUUGGAUUUAUGCAGCAUUUAUGUAAAGACUUGUAUUUCUUUGAAAAGUGAUUUGGGGACCAGGACAGAACCAGCAUACUUACCUGAUAAAUAACAGCUCUACUGCCACUUUGAGAAAAAGGGAAACUGAGGCAGGGCACAGUAACUGUGGCGUGUGCUAGGAUUUGGAGCCAGUAUUUUUGAGUUCCCGUAAGGCAGUUUGCAUCAAAACCAUAUAAUCAUAUGCCCAGGCCAAAGUGUAGCAUCUCUGUGUGGAUUCCUCUAAAUAAAGUGCCGCCUGGACCAUGCCACCCAGGGGAGUUGGUUUGUGGUUCCUUCUGGCCAUGGACGCCCGUGGUGCCAGGCUGGCGCGGGCAGAAUUGUGGUCCUUCUGAAAGAACAGGCGUUUGUGUGUCAGCUUCGUGGGACUUGCAGGAGUCCGUUUUGAAUGAUGCUCCAUGUUGGGAAGACAAAUAGCAUCCCAUCCCCUCGGCAGAGGACCAGCUUGGCCCUUAUCCCAAGGCAGACUGGCCACGGGCAAUGGAAAACUCAGGAUCAUCCGUGCUACAAAGGCCCUUAAAACACUCCUCAUCCAUCCCCAGUUUUAUGGAGAGAGAAACUGAGGCCCCAAAAGGUUAGGGGUUCGAGUGACCUUCCUAAGACAUGUAAAGGGAGGACAGGGCUGCAGUGUGACCCCUCCCCACGAGACAUCCCAAACCAUUUGGUGCUGCCUCGCCUCCCCCAUCCCAGCGGCCCUCAGGCCCCCUUGCAAAGACUUUCUCUAGCCUCGUGGAAAGAUCCAGGCACCUUCAUAGUGUUCAUUUGUUAAUACGAAGAUUGACAUACUGAGGAUUACUCUGUCUGUGUUUUCAGGUCAGAUUUUUUAUUUAUUUUUUUAUUUUGAAAGUGCGUGUGAGCAGGGGAGGA